rnacentral:tRNA from 1 species
GAGGGUUUAGCUCAAGCGGUAGAGCAUGUGCUUAGCAUGCAUGAGGUCCUGGGUUCAAUCCCCAGUACCUCCU